AAAUUGAAGAGUUUGAUCAUGGCUCAGAUUGAACGCUGGCGGCAGGCCUAACACAUGCAAGUCGAACGGUAACAGGAAACAGCUUGCUGUUUCGCUGACGAGUGGCGGACGGGUGAGUAAUGUCUGGGAAACUGCCCGAUGGAGGGGGAUAACUACUGGAAACGGUAGCUAAUACCGCAUAACGUCGCAAGACCAAAGAGGGGGACCUUCGGGCCUCUUGCUAUCGGAUGUGCCCAGAUGGGAUUAGCUAGUAGGUGGGGUAACGGCUCACCUAGGCGACGAUCCCUAGC
rnacentral:rRNA from 1 species